rnacentral:rRNA from 1 species
CCUACGUGUGGCAGCAGUGGGGAAUAUUGGGCAAUGGGCGCAAGCCUGACCCAGCAACGCCGCGUGAAGGAAGAAGUAAUUCGUUAUGUAACGCUCUAUCAGCAGGGAAGAAAAUGACGGUACCUGAGUAAGAAGCCCCGGCUAACUACGUGCCAUCAGCCGCGGUAAUACGUAGGGGGCAAGCGUUAUCCGGAUUUACUGGGUGUAAAGGGAGCGUAGACGGCAGUGCAAGUCUGGAGUGAAAGGCGGGGGCUCAACCCCCGGACUGCUCUGGAAACUGUACGGCUGGAGUGCAGGAGAGGUAAGUGGAAUUCCUAGUGUAGCGGUGAAAUGCGUAGAUAUUAGGAGGAACACCAGUGGCGAAGGCGGCUUACUGGACUGUAACUGACGUUGAGGCUCGAAAGCGUGGGGAGCAAACAGGAUUAGAUACCCCUGUAGUC